rnacentral:rRNA from 1 species
GGGUGGAGAUUUGAUCCUGGCUCAGAACGAACGCUGGCGGCAGGCUUAACACAUGCAAGUCGAACGCCCCGCAAGGGGAGUGGCAGACGGGUGAGUAACGCGUGGGAAUCUACCGUGCCCUGCGGAAUAGCUCCGGGAAACUGGAAUUAAUACCGCAUACGCCCUACGGGGGAAAGAUUUAUCGGGGUAUGAUGAGCCCGCGUUGGAUUAGCUAGUUGGUGGGGUAAAGGCCUACCAAGGCGACGAUCCAUAGCUGGUCUGAGAGGAUGAUCAGCCACAUUGGGACUGAGACACGGCCCAAACUCCUACGGGAGGCAGCAGUGGGGAAUAUUGGACAAUGGGCGCAAGCCUGAUCCAGCCAUGCCGCGUGAGUGAUGAAGGCCUUAGGGUUGUAAAGCUCUUUCACCGGUGAAGAUAAUGAC